UACGGAGGGGGCAAACGUUGCUCGGAAUCAUUGGGCGUAAAGCGCACGUAGGAGGCUUGUUAAGUCGGAUGUGAAAGCCCUCGGCUCAACCGAGGAAGUGCAUUCGAAACUGGCAGACUUGAGUACGGGAGAGGGUUGCGGAAUUCUCGGUGUAGAGGUGAAAUUCGUAGAUAUCGGGAGGAACACCUGUGGCGAAGGCGGCAACCUGGACCGAUACUGACGCUGAGGUGCGAAAGCGUGGGGAGCAAACAGG
rnacentral:rRNA from 1 species